rnacentral:lncRNA from 1 species
CUGCCAUUAAAAAAGGCAUACAAGCUAAAUAAUUCAAGAGAUUUGAAAAUAAAUUCAUGCUUUUGCAGUAGCAGACUUCCAAGCUUCUUUUCAUCUUCUCUCUGCAGCACCUUGCUGUAACAGAACAAUGAUACACAUAUAAAAGGAGAGAGAACAGAGCAGGAACUGGGCCUGCCUAGCUUGAAAACCAAAGGAGUCUGUUUGCAGGGACAGAGUCCUGUGAAAUACACACAAAGCAUCCUGGAUUUGCAGACACAUCCACAGAAAUGAAACCCUUGAUAUUCUGGAAAAAUGCAGGCUUUCAAAGCAGGCAGGACUCUUCUGAAUGGAGUGGGGGGAGGAAAUCUGUGGUGCUUCCUCAGAGCUCUAAGAGAUGGAAUGUGCAGCUGAGUUGUUGAACAGGGAACUACAGCAGCUUUGCUGCAUUUAUGAUGUAAUUUCAUUACUAUUUUGGUCCUGACUGGCACUUUCAGGUCCUGCAUUUAUUAGCAGCAUCCUUACUAGAAUGAGAUAGUACUGCAGGUGCAAGACACUCAGCAUCAACAAGGAGAUUGGCUACAUCUGCUCUUCAUGAGGUUCUGCAUGCAUCUGGCAGAGGUUGGGAGAAGGAGCUAUACACCCAUUUCUGCUGCUGUGGAGCAGAAUGACUUCCCAUUCAGAGCAGCAGCUCUGCGCUCUGUUCUCUUAACACAGAAGCAGGGGGUGACCCAAUACAGCUGCGUUCUCCUGGUUUCAAGGACAGCGGAAGAACAUGGCUGAAUCUGAACACAUUUGAUCAAAAACAAGAAAGGAAGUAAAGAGUUCAACAUAUUUGUGUUUCUGUAUCUCAUGCUGCGCUUUUGUUCUUUCGGAUUCAUGACCCAGGAAGGAGGACUGCUGCCAGAACACCCUGCUGGGAGAUCAGGCAUUUUCACUGGCCAAGAUGUACCAGUGUCUGUGCUGUGCCUUCUUUAUGACCUGCCUUCACGGAUAACGGCCCUGCUGCAAUACCUGAAUUUUGACCCAGCAGAGGAUGCUGCUGGUUGGUCAUCCCUCACCUCAGCGCUGCCUGCUGAGUGCCCCGAGAGCCCAGAUCUUCAAUGGCCAUUCACUGUCAUGGAAUUAAAAUCUGAUGCAUCCCUUCCCUGACUUGUCUCUGCUGGGGUUUUGUAACUGCCUCUCAUCCCUCUCCCACUGCUCAGUCUUCUUCUCAGCUCCA